AACGAACGCUGGCGGCAUGCCUAAUACAUGCAAGUCGAACGAUCACUUCGGUGAUAGUGGCGCACGGGUGUGUAACGCGUGGGAAUCUGCCCUUGGGUUCGGAAUAACAGCUGGAAACGGCUGCUAAUACCGGAUGAUGACGUAAGUCCAAAGAUUUAUCGCCCAGGGAUGAGCCCGCGUAGGAUUAGGUAGUUGGUGGGGUAAAGGCCUACCAAGCCUACGAUCCUUAGCUGGUCUGAGAGGAUGAUCAGCCACACUGGGACUGAGACACGGCCCAGACUCCUACGGGAGGCAGCAGUAGGGAAUAUUGGACAAUGGGGGCAACCCUGAUCCAGCAAUGCCGCGUGAGUGAUGAAGGCCUUAGGGUUGUAAAGCUCUUUUACCCGGGAUGAUAAUGACAGUACCGGGAGAAUAAGCCCCGGCUAACUCCGUGCCAGCCGCCGCAGUAA
rnacentral:rRNA from 1 species